CCUGGGUGGCUCAGCUGUAGAGCAUGAGACUCUUGAUCUCAAGGUCAUGAUUUUGAGCUCCACAUUAGGUACAGAGAAUCC